UACGUAAGGUCCGAGCGUUGUCCGGAAUCAUUGGGCGUAAAGGGCACGCAGGCGGGCUUUUAAGUGAGAUGUGAAAUCCCCGGGCUUAACCUGGGAAUAGCAUUUCAGACUGGGAGUCUAGAGUACUUUAGGGAGGGGUAGAAUUCCACGUGUAGCGGUGAAAUGCGUAGAGAUGUGGAGGAAUACCGGUGGCGAAGGCGACUUACUGGGCUCAUUCUGACGCUGAGGAACGAAAGCGUGGGUAGCAAACAGG
rnacentral:rRNA from 1 species